AUUGAACGCUGGCGGAAUGCUUUACACAUGCAAGUCGAGCGGCAGCGCGGGGGCAACCCUGGCGGCGAGCGGCGAACGGGUGAGUAACACAUCGGAACGUGCCCAGUCAUGGGGGAUAGCCCGGCGAAAGCCGGAUUAAUACCGCAUACGACCUGAGGGUGAAAGUGGGGGAUCGCAAGACCUCACGUGAUUGGAGCGGCCGAUGGCGGAUUAGCUAGUUGGUAGGGUAAAGGCCUACCAAGGCGACGAUCCGUAGCGGGUCUGAGAGGACGACCCGCCACACUGGAACUGAGACACGGUCCAGACUCCUACGGGAGGCAGCAGUGGGGAAUUUUGGACAAUGGGCGAAAGCCUGAUCCAGCCAUUCCGCGUGAGUGAAGAAGGCCUUCGGGUUGUAAAGCUCUUUCGGCAGGAACGAAACGGUCUUUUCUAAUACAAGAGGCUAAUGACGGUACCUGAAGAAGAAGCACCGGCUAACUACGUGCCAGCAGCCGCGGUAA
rnacentral:rRNA from 1 species